GGGCCGUGCAUCCGAGUCACCCUGCUUGGCCGACAGUCCGAGUUAGAAAGGGAGACAGGCUGCCUCCUGGAUGAGAUCCCAGCCUCCGGCCCCCAGCACCAGAUCCCUCAGGGCAGCCCCUGGCCCCUGCCCUCAGACCCUCGUGCCCUCAGCCCCCAUCAUGAGACUCCACAGUGCAGGUCCCCAGCACCCAGCCCUCAGCCCCCAGCUCCCGGCCCCUGGCCUGUUCUCAAGCUCCUGUACACUGCUCUGCCCCUAGUAGGUUCAUGUGAACUUAAAACCAAGGUGCUUCCAGCCUUUCUCCGUCCUUGCUCCCCUUGCACACUCCCAUCCUCGGUGCACAGCUCAGAUCCCCAUCUGCUCUGCACAGUCUGGAGCCAGGGUCUACGCUGCACAACCAGGAGCCCUUUCUGCCCCACACGGCUCAGGGCCCUCCACACUGCCCUGCUCAGGGCCCGUUCACACCGCACAGCCUGGAGUCAGUGUCCACACUGCAAACCCAGAGCCCCACCCACACCACACUGCUCAUGGCCCAACCACACUCCACACAGCCUGGAGGUAACGACUACACCGCAAAACUUGGGGCACUGUCCAGGCUGCACGGCUUGGGAGUCCCAUCCACACUGCAUGGCUUGGACCCCCGUCCACCCUGCACGGCUUGGAGCCCUGUCCAUACUGCAUGGCUCAGGGAUUUGGAGACAGCAAUUCCAUGUUCAAGUGGCCUGCCCCUUCCCUGGUUUAUCAGCUCCAGUGCUGCCCCAUCUCAGCCUGCGUCCAUCCAAACUGUGGAGUCCUGACUCUCCCAGCAGGGUUUACGACCUCGAUGUUGGAUCAGGACAUCCAAAUGGUGCAGCCGCUAUUAAUGGUUCGUCUGUUGGUUAUCCUCCCCAGAAGCUGCUACAUCCCCCUAAACGUCCUGGCGCCCUGCCUCUGUCUGUCCAUCUUGGUGCCCUGCUCUGUCCCCACUCCUACCUAUCCAUCCUGGUGCCCUACUCUGCCCGGUAUCCCUGUCCAUCCGUCCUGGUACCCUGCUCUGUGCCCACCCCUACCUGUCUGUCCUGUUGCCCUGCUCUGUCCCCUUCUGUCCAUCUGCCCAUCCAGACCUCAUAG
rnacentral:lncRNA from 1 species